UGGGGAAUAUUGCACAAUGGGGGAAACCCUGAUCCAGCCAUGCCGCGUGUCUGAAGAAGGCCUUCGGGUUGUAAAGGACUUUUGUUAGGGAGCAAGUCCUGCAGGUUAAGAGCUAGUAGGGAUGAGAGUACCUAAAGAAUAAGCACCGGCUAACUACGUGCCAGCAGCCGCGGUAAUACGUAGGGUGCAAGCGUUAAUCGGAAUUACUGGGCGUAAAGGGUGCGCAGGCGGUAUUGUAAGCCAGAUGUGAAAUCCCCGGGCUCAACCUGGGAACUGCAUUCGAUACUGGUCAGCUAGAGUACGGCAGAGGGGGGUAGAAUUCCACGUGUAGCAGUGAAAUGCGUAGAGAUGUGGAGGAAUACCGAUGGCGAAGGCAGCCUUCUGGCCUAACACUGACGCU
rnacentral:rRNA from 1 species